NNNNNNNCGGCGAGCCCGGCGAGCCCGGCGAGCUGGAGACGGCCUCCUACGUCUUCUUCGGCAUCGUGCUGGCCCUCAUCGGCGUCGUCUUCCUCAUGGUGCUCUACCUGAACCGGCGCGGCAUCAAGCGCUGGCUGCACAACCUGCGCGAGGCCUGCCGCGACCAGAUGGAGGGCUACCACUACCGCUACGAGCAGGACGCCGACCCGCGCCGCGCCAGCGCAGCCGGCCCCGCCGGCCUCUGAGCCCCCCCCGCCCAAAUCGCCCACCCGCCCGGCGCGGGAUGCCGCGGUCCACGGAUGCUGCAGGGCGCCGCGGAGCAUCCUGUGGUUGGGAGCAUCCCGCAGCCAGGAGCAUCCCGCAGCCAGGAGCAUCCUGCCACCAGGAGCAUCCCGCAGCUGGGAGCAUCCUGCACCAGGAGCAUCCUGCAGCCAGGAGCAUCCCACAACCAGGAGCAUCCCGCAGCCGGGAGCAUCCUGCCACCAGGAGCAUCCCACAGCCGGGACCAUCCUGCACCAGGAGCAUCCUACAGCCAGGAGCAUCCUGCCACCAGGACCAUCCCACUUCCAGGAGCAUCCUGCAGCCGGGAGCAUCCCACAGCCAGGAGCAUCCCACAGCCGGGAGCAUCCUGCCACCAGGAGCAUCCCGCAGCCAGGAGCAUCCCACAGCCGGGAGCAUCCUGCACCAGGAACAUCCCACAACCAGGAGCAUCCCGCAGCCGGGAGCAUCCCACAGCCAGGAGCAUCCUACAGCCAGAAGCAUCCUGCCACCAGGAGCAUCCCACUUCCAGGAGCAUCCUGCAGCCAGGAGCAUCCUACAGCCAGAAGCAUCCUGCCACCAGGAGCAUCCCACUUCCAGGAGCAUCCUGCAGCCAGGAGCAUCCUGCACCAGGAGCAUCCUGCCACCAGGAGCAUCCCGCAGCCGGGAGCAUCCCACAGCCGGGAGCAUCCUGCACCAGGAGCAUCCCGCAGCCGGGAGCAUCCCACAGCCAGGAGCAUCCCGCAGCCGGGAGCAUCCCCAGCGUGAAGGAGCCCCCCCAGAGGGGAGCAUCCCAACCGGAGGAUCGCACCUCGCUCCUGUCCAAGAGACGCUUUUGCUCCGCGAGAGCCCGGGUCCUCGCUCGGCAGGGCCGCGGGAGCAGCGCGAGGAACUUCCCCGCCGCAGGGGCCGGAGCCUGGACYUGCCUUUUUCCCUGUACAGCUCUUUCCUAUUAGAUUUCUAUCGGACAAGUGCAAAACUGAACUCAAUUCCUUUUUUUUCCCCUCCCUCGGAGAAACCGUGCCGUUUUCCGAGCCCGUUCCCUGAUCGUGCUCGCCGUUUCCCUCCGUCCCCGGGCACAGACUCACGGAGCGGUACGGAAAGCGCUGUCUGCAUGCUACCGAGCGCGGCGGCAGCGGCGGACGCGAGCCGAGGCCGCGGCCCCACUUUGUAACUGGAACCAAGCGCGGCGAAAGCUCGCCGUCUCGCCCGCGCGCACACGUUCGCUUUAGACCUGUGCCUGUUACUAUAUCCUAGAGCAAAUAUAUCACAGG
rnacentral:lncRNA from 1 species